rnacentral:rRNA from 1 species
UGAGUAUGAGACGCUAAGGCGUCGAAGUAGUGGAUGUCAUACUUCCAAGAAAAGCUUGCACUGUCAUAAAUAAAAACGCCUGUACCAUAACCGACACAGGUGGGUAGGUAGAGUAUACUAAGGGGCGCGAGAUAACUCUCUCUAAGGAACUCGGCAAAAUAACUCCGUAACUUCGGGAGAAGGAGUGCCUUAUUCGUAAGGCUGCAAUAACAAGAUCCAAGCAACUGUUUAUCAAAAACACAGGUCUCCGCUAAGUCGUAAGACGAUGUAUGGGGGCUGACGCCUGCCCAGUGCCAGAAGGUUAAAGAAGUCGGUUAGCAUUAGCGAAGCUGGUAACUGAAGCCCUGGUGAACGGCGGCCGUAACAAUAACGGUCCUAAGGUAGCGAAAUUCCUUGUCGGGUAAGUUCCGACCCGCACGAAAGGCGUAAUGAUUUGGAUACUGUCUCGGAGAGGGGCUCGGUGAAAUAGACUUGUCUGUGAAGAUGCGGACUACCUGCACCAGGACAGAAAGACCCUAUGAAGCUUUACUGUAACUUGAAAUUGAAAUUGGACUUUAUUCGCGCAGUAUAGGUGGGAGGUGUUGAUUAUAAUCUUGCGGGAUUAUUGGAGCCAUCAGUGAGAUACCACUCUUGUAAUGUUAGAUUUCUAACUUUGAAUCAUUAUCUGGUCAAAGAACAGUUUCAGGCGGGCAGUUUGACUGGGGCGGUCGCCUCCUAAAUGGUAACGGAGGCGUACAAAGGUUUCCUCUGAACGGGUAGAAAUCGUAUCUAGAGUGUAAAGGCAUAAGGAAGCUUGACUGUGAGACCUACAAGUCGAGCAGGGACGAAAGUCGGUCUUAGUGAUCUGACGGUACUGAGUGGAAAGGCCGUCACUCAACGGAUAAAAGUUACUCUAAGGAUAACAGGCUGAUCUCCCCCAAGAGUUCACAUCGACGGGGAGGUUUGGCACCUCGAUGUCGGCUCAUCGCAUCCUGGGGCGGUAGUACGUCCAAGGGUUGGGCUGUUCGCCCAUGAAAGCGGUACGCGAGCUGGGUUCAGAACGUCGUGAGACAGUUCGGUCCAUAUCCGGUGUAGGCGUUAGAAUAUUGAGAGGAGCCUUCUUUAGUACGAGAGGACCGAGAAGGACAUACCUCUGGUGUACCAGUUAUCGUGCCAACGGUAAACGCUGGGUAGCUAUGUAUGGAGUGGAUAACCGCUGAAAGCAUCUAAGUGGGAAGCCCACCUCAAGAUAAGUAUUCUC